ACUCCUACGGGAGGCAGCAGUGGGGAAUUUUGCGCAAUGGGGGAAACCCUGACGCAGCGACGCCGCGUGGAGGAUGAAGGUCUUCGGAUUGUAAACUCCUUUUGUCGGGGAAGAUAAUGACGGUACCCGGCGAAUAAGCCACGGCUAACUCUGUGCCAGCAGCCGCGGUAAGACAGAGGUGGCAAGCGUUGUUCGGAAUUACUGGGCUUAAAGGGCGCGUAGGCGGUGGAGUAAGUCUGAGGUGGAAGAUUAGGGCUUAACCCUAAAAUUGCCUUGGAAACUGCAUCACUUGAGUCAGCGAGGGGAUGGCGGAAUUCCAGGUGUAGCGGUGAAAUGCGUAGAUAUCUGGAGGAAGGCCGGUGGCGAAGGCGGCCAUCUGGCGCUGAACUGACGCUGAGGCGCGAAAGCGUGGGGAGCAAACAGGAUUAGAUACCCUGGUAGUCCACGCCCUAAACGGUGGGUACUAGGUGUAGGGCUCGUAAGGGUUCUGUGCCGUAGGGAAACCAUUAAGUACCCCGCCUGGGG
rnacentral:rRNA from 1 species